UACGUAGGGGGCAAGCGUUGUCCGGAUUUACUGGGCGUAAAGGGCGCGUAGGCGGCUUGACAAGUCACUUGUGAAAUCUCCGGGCUUAACUCGGAACGGCCAAGUGAAACUGUCAUGCUAGAGUGCAGAAGGGGCAAUCGGAAUUCUUGGUGUAGCGGUGAAAUGCGUAGAUAUCAAGAGGAACACCUGAGGUGAAGACGGGUUGCUGGGCUGACACUGACGCUGAGGCGCGAAAGCCAGGGGAGCAAACGGG
rnacentral:rRNA from 1 species